rnacentral:snRNA from 1 species
UUGCUUCAGUGGCACAUAUACCAAAGCUGGAAUGACACAGAAAUUAGUAUGGCCCCUGAGCAAGGAUGACACACAAAUUAAGGAAAUGUUCCAUAUUUUU